UACGUAGGGGGCGAGCGUCGUCCGGAAUCAUUGGGCGUAAAGAGCUCGUAGGCGGUUCGGUAAGUCUGCCGUGAAAACCUGAGGCUCAACCGGGAGGGUGCGCCGGAAACUGGGUUGCUUGAGUACUGGAGAGGCAAGCGGAAUUCCUGGUGUAGCGGUGAAAUGCGUAGGUAUCAGGAGGAACACCCGUGGUGUAGACGGCUUGCUGGACAGUCACUGACGCUGAGGCACGAAAGCGUGGGGAGCAAACAGG
rnacentral:rRNA from 1 species